rnacentral:rRNA from 1 species
AUGAACGCUAGCGACAGGCCUAACACAUGCAAGUCGAGGGGUAACAGGGUAGCAAUACCGCUGACGACCGGCGCACGGGUGAGUAACGCGUAUGCAACCUGUCUAGUAACUGGGGGAAUAGCUCCCUGAAAGGGGGAAUUAACACCGCAUAACACUAUUGAUUCGCAUGGAUUGGUAGUUAAAUGUAGCGAUACAGGUUAUAGAUGGGCAUGCGUGACAUUAGCUAGUUGGUGAGGUAACGGCUCACCAAGGCUACGAUGUCUAGGGGUUCUGAGAGGAAGGUCCCCCACACUGGUACUGAGACACGGACCAGACUCCUACGGGAGGCAGCAGUGAGGAAUAUUGGUCAAUGGGCGCAAGCCUGAACCAGCCAUGUCGCGUGCAGGAAGACUGCCCUAUGGGUUGUAAACUGCUUUUAUAGUAGAAGAAACACAUCUACGUGUAGAUGUCUGCCAGUAUACUAUGAAUAAGCAUCGGCUAACUCCGUGCCAGCCGCUGC